GGAACCCCUCUCCUCACCAAAAUUUCCAGAUUUUCUCCUCUUCCUUCCCUCUUUCCAUUUCUCCAACCAAAAUCAUGAAAUUUAGCCAUUUAAUCCCCCAAAAACCCUAGAACCCGAAGCUAAAAUUGGGGCUUUUGUGAUUUCUUCUUUCCAAGCUCAAAUCAAGGCUAUGGGUUUGGCAAGGAUUUUUGGUGAAGAAGGCCAAGGAGAAGGAAUAUGAUGUGAUUUUUGAAGAAGAAAGGGUUACAACGAGGUCAUUCCGGACGAUUUGGAUUAGAAGUGGGUCGUUGGCCGAGUCCGUGUGUUGCUGUUCCUGUUGCUUGAAGCUCUUCCCAUUUGGUACUCUAUCGAUUUUCUAGCUUCUCUUUCUAUGUUGAACUCUGUGAGGUCCGCCUACCUGGGAGCGCGCCUCACCCCUUGUUUUAUUGUUAUUGUUGAACUCCUUUCAUUUCGGUUAUGAUGUAAGCCCUAAGGCAUCACAGUGCACUUGCCCACUUUAUUUUGUUGCUUUUCCAGACUUG
rnacentral:lncRNA from 1 species